ACACGUAUGAAAGACAAGCUGAAAGACUUUUCUCAAUGAUGUAAGUGGUGGUGCAUGGUCGUUCUUAGUUCGUGGAUUGAUUUGUCUGGUCUAUUCCGAUAACGAGCGAGACCCCGGUGAUCCUAGUAGGAGUGGCAGCCCGGCUCGCCGCAAGGCUUGCUAGCAGCCAUUCUCUCGAAAGCUUCUUAGACAUAUCGGGGCUGAUAAAGUCCUUGAAAUGGGUUAAUAACAGGUCAGUCAUGCCCUUAGAUGUUCUGGGCCGCACGCGCGUUACAAUGGCACGUCUCAGAAAGUGCUCGAUUCAGGGCGUCUCCGCGAUCUACCGGUCGUGGUAACCCUUAAUUCUUGCCUUGACUGGGAUAGACUAUUGCAAUUAUUGGUCUUCAACGAGGAAUUUUUAGUAAGCACGGGUCAUUAGCCCGUGCUGA
rnacentral:rRNA from 1 species